rnacentral:rRNA from 1 species
GAUGAACGCUAGCUACAGGCUUAACACAUGCAAGUCGAGGGGAAACGGCAUUAAGUGCUUGCACUUUUUGGACGUCGACCGGCGCACGGGUGAGUAACGCGUAUCCAACCUUCCCAUGACUAAGGGAUAACCUGCCGAAAGGCAGACUAAUACCUUAUGGUCUUCACUGACGGCAUCAGAUGUGAAGUAAAGAUUUAUCGGUUAUGGAUGGGGAUGCGUCUGAUUAGUUAGUUAGCGGGGUAACGGCCCACCAAGGCAACGAUCAGUAGGGGUUCUGAGAGGAAGGUCCCCCACAUUGGAACUGAGACACGGUCCAAACUCCUACGGGAGGCAGCAGUGAGGAAUAUUGGUCAAUGGGCGAGAGCCUGAACCAGCCAAGUAGCGUGCAGGAUGACGGCCCUAUGGGUUGUAAACUGCUUUUGUAUGGGGAUAAAGUCAAUCACGUGUGAUUGUUUGCAGGUACCAUACGAAUAAGGACCGGCUAAUUCCGUGCCAGCAGCCGCGGUAAUACGGAAGGUCCGGGCGUUAUCCGGAUUUAUUGGGUUUAAAGGGAGCGUAGGCUGGAGAUUAAGUGUGUUGUGAAAUGUAGACGCUCAACGUCUGACUUGCAGCGCAUACUGGUUUCCUUGAGUACGCACAACGUUGGCGGAAUUCGUCGUGUAGCGGUGAAAUGCUUAGAUAUGACGAAGAACUCCGAUUGCGAAGGCAGCUGACGGGAGCGCAACUGACGCUGAAGCUCGAAGGUGCGGGUAUCGAACAGG